GACAGAGGGUGCAAACGUUGCUCGGAAUUACUGGGCGUAAAGCGCGUGUAGGCUGACCGGAAAGUCGGGCGUGAAAUCCCUGGGCUCAACCCAGGAACUGCACUCGAAACUCCCGGUCUUGAGUGGUGGAGAGGGAAGUGGAAUUCCUGGUGCAGAGGUGAAAUUCGUAGAUAUCAGGAGGAACACCAGUGGCGAAGGCGGCUUCCUGGACACCAACUGACGCUGAGACGCGAAAGCGUGGGGAGCAAACAGG
rnacentral:rRNA from 1 species